UUGUGAGCCCAGGGACAUCAGAGGUCUUCUACAGUUGGAGAAAAUAGAACAGAGAAAUAGCCCUGGGUCCCUGUGGUGUGAGAGGAGUUCUCAUCAUGGAAGCCUCACUCUGUUAGGAGUCAUGGUGCCCAGGGCCUGCCCUCUUAAGACAGCACAUAGCCCAGAUAGGGAGGGGCCUGCAGGUUAGACUCUGUGAGGGAAAUGACCAUCUUGCUGUCUUCCUCUAAGCUGAGAAGAGAAGGUGACAAGUGCCACCUCACAAGUGAUGAUCUUGGAAAUUCUUCCAGCCACAGCAUGCCAUUGAAGAAGUUCAAGAGCUUCUGGUGUCUGAUGUUAUCUGGAGAAAUACAAGAGCAUCAGGGAAAAUGUGGAUGUCACCUUUUCCUGGCCCAGUGAAUGAAAUAAGAGCAGCAGUGUGACAAGAAGCUGGAGGAAAAAGAAAUCGUGUUUCAGCUGAAGGUCAAGUAGCCCUGCUCAAGGGAAGAGGACAAGGAGCAUGUCGCCUGAGGCAUGUCCCUCAGGAGUCCAGGCUGGGUCCUCAGCUCAGCCUGAGAAGACUGAAAUGGAGCAGUCAGUGGGCAGCUCUCCUUGCUGAAGUUCAGAGUCUUCUUCCAGGUCCAGUGGCUGAGGACCAGCACAUCCCUAUCCCAGCCUUGACGAAGGCUGGUGCACAGCCUGGGAAUAUGGUGGAAUGACAUGCCUGGCCUCCCAGACUGGCCUCUAAGGCACAGGACUCUGAAAGUUCAGCCAUGGAGUCCCACCUUAGGCCUGCAGUCUCACAACACCCUGGUGCUCUUUCAGAGCCCAGGGGAUUCAUCCUGAUGCCACAUGCUGAUGUCUUCAGGGAAACCAGAUAUCUAGCCUUCCUGGAGGCUGGCUGAUGGACCCCUCUGGCCAUCAAGUUUCUUCCCAGAUGGAAGAGACAUGGCAUGGCCAAUGUCUCUUCUGUGGUUUAUUUUGAAGCUGUCAGGGUCUAUUUUUCCCUCUCCUCCUCACUAACCUUAGGGUAGCAGGAUGGCCUCCUUCCCAUUCCAGGCUGGGUUAUCUGACCUUGGGCACACACACCAGAGCCAUGAAGUAACCUAGACUUUGGCAUGUUCCAGAGACCUAACAUAUGGGUAUUUAUCAAGGCUACAAGUGAAUUUUAACCUCUGACAGGUCACAGCUGGAGUGUGGCCUUUGAAGGCCCUCUUUAAAAGCUCUCUGUUCCCCUGAGGGUGAGAAUCCAGCCUCUGGGACAGGAGUCCCUGUGUUUCUCUUUUGAUAGCA